rnacentral:misc_RNA from 1 species
GAUGAAGAACGCAGCAAAAUGCGAUACUUGGUGUGAAUUGCAGAAUCCCGUGAACCAUCGAGUUUUUGAACGCAAGUUGCGCCCGAAGCCUUUUGGCCGAGGGCACGUCUGCCUGGGCGUCACGCAUCGCGUCGCCCCCCACAAUUCUCCGUAAAGGGAACAUGUGUUUUGGGGGCGGAUAUUGGUCUCCCGUGCUCAUGGCGUGGUUGGCCGAAAUAGGAGUCCUUUCGAUGGACGCACGAACUAGUGGUGGUCGUAAAAACCCUCGUCUUUUGUUUCGUGCUGUUGCUCGCAAGGUAAACUCUCUAAAAACCCCAAUGUGUCGUCUCUUGACGACGCUUCGACCGCGACCCCAGGUCAGGCGGGACUACCCGCUGAGUUUAAGCAUAUCAAUAAGCGGAGGA